AAGAAAUCUGUUGAAUUCGAAUUAACGAAAAGAAGAACAGUUUUAGAUUGAUAUUUCUGAAUUAUUUUAAUAUUAACUUUAUAUUGAAAUGCUAAAUUACGAAUGAUGUCAAAUAUUUUUUUUUUAAUAUAAGCAAGCAUUCACAAGGUGUGUCACAGGGUUGCGGACAAGAAAGAGAAAAGAUAUAAGGAGGUGGUGGCCGCAGCCUAGUUGUUGUACGCCCAAUCGACAAGCGUUAUGCCUUUAUCGACUGUGGGCUCGCUAUAGUUACGACGAAAGAAUAAAUAAGCAAUACGUGAUUUAAUUGUUUUAAUAAAUUUAAUAAAUUUAAAAUUUUACUUUCAAGUGCACAAUUUAGCAAUUCUGAACUAUAGAUCAACAAAGCAAUUUUAAAUAAAUCAAAAAUCGAAUAGUAUUUAUAGACACGUCAAAUUGUCUUAAAUCUUCUUAUUUUAUUUACAAUUAAAAAAUGUUGCUGUCAACAAUUUUCAGGGCUGUGAAUGACAUUUGUCGGAUGGCGCAGUGUAUCAAUCACACCAAACUCAUCUUGAGAGAUCGAGUUAUAGUUUCUUAUGCAUAAAAAUUACUUUUAAAUUUCUUUACCGUUCGCGGCUUUCCGUGAUAUAAAUACAAUGGACGCAUUAAUGCAUACAGAUGGUUUCUUCUGGUUAAGUUGGAAAAGAAAAACUUACACAACGAGAAAGUUUUAUCAUAGAUUGCACUGUACACGUAAAAAAUGCAAUACAAUAAUAAAAUCAUCAGCAACUUUAGGUUUAACUCUUUUUCAACAAAAACAAAAUAA